rnacentral:rRNA from 1 species
UACAGAGGUCCCAAGCGUUGUUCGGAUUCAUUGGGCGUAAAGGGUGUGUAGGUGGCGCCGUAAGUCGGGUGUGAAAUCUCGGGGCUUAACUCCGAAACUGCAUUCGAUACUGCCGUGCUUGAGGACUGGAGAGGAGACUGGAAUUUACGGUGUAGCGGUGAAAUGCGUAGAUAUCGUAAGGAAGACCAGUGGCGAAGGCGGGUCUCUGGACAGUUCCUACGCUGAGGCACGAAGGUCAGGGGAGCAAACGGG